CCUACGGGAGGCAGCAGUGGGGAAUCUUGCACAAUGGAGGAAACUCUGAUGCAGCGAUGCCGCGUGAGUGAAGAAGGCCCUUGGGUUGUAAAGCUCUUUUGUCGGGAAAGAUAAUGACUGUACCCGAAGAAUAAGGUCCGGCUAACUUCGUGCCAGCAGCCGCGGUAAUACGAAGGGACCUAGCGUAAUUCGGAAUUACUGGGCGUAAAGCGCGCGUAGGCGGUUAAGUAAGUUAAUUGUGAAAGCCCAAAGCUCAACUUUGGAAUUGCAAUUAAAACUAUUUAGCUAGAGUUUAUCAGAGGAAAGCGGAAUACAUAGUGUAGAGGUGAAAUUCGUAGAUAUUAUGUAGAACACCAGUUGCGUAGGCGGCUUUCUGGGAUAACACUGACGCUGAGGUGCGAAAGUAUGGGUAGCGAAGAGGAUUAGAUACCCUCGUAGUCCAUACCGUAAACGAUGAUUGUUAGAUGUUGGAAAUUUAUUUUCAGUAUCACAGCUAACGCGUUAAACAAUCCGCCUGGGGAGUACGACCGCAAGGUUAAAACUCAAAUGAAUUGACGGA
rnacentral:rRNA from 1 species